rnacentral:rRNA from 1 species
UACGGGGGGGGCAAGCGUUGUUCGGAAUUACUGGGCGUAAAGGGUUCGUAGGUGGCCAACUAAGUCAGACGUGAAAUCCCUCAGCUUAACUGGGGAACUGCGUCUGAGACUGGAUGGCUUGAGUGCAGGAGAGGAACGCGGAAUUCCAGGUGUAGCGGUGAAAUGCGUAGAUAUCUGGAGGAAUACCGGUGGCGAAGGCGGCAUCCUGGACCGGCAUUGACGCUGAGGAGCGAAAGCCAGGGGAGCAAACGGG